GAUGAAGAACGCAGCGAAAUGCGAUAAGUAAUGUGAAUUGCAGAAUUCAGUGAAUCAUCGAAUCUUUGAACGCACAUUGCGCCCGCCAGUAUUCUGGCGGGCAUGCCUGUUCGAGCGUCAUUUCAACCAUCAAGCCCCCGGCUUGUGUUUGGGACCUGCGGCUGCCGCAGGCCCUGAAAAGCAGUGGCGGGCUCGCUGUCACACCGAGCGUAGUAGCAUACAUCUCGCUCUGGGCGUGCUGCGGGUUCCGGCCGUUAAACCACCUUCAUAACCCAAGGUUGACCUCGGAUCAGGUAGGAAGACCCGCUGAACUUAAGCAUAUCAAUAAGCGGAGGA
rnacentral:misc_RNA from 1 species